rnacentral:rRNA from 1 species
UACGUAGGUGGCAAGCGUUGUCCGGAUUUAUUGGGUUUAAAGCGCACGUAGGCGGUCUUUUAAGUCGGGGGUGAAAUCCUGGAGCUCAACUCCAGAACUGCCUUCGAUACUGGAAGACUCGAGUCCGGGAGAGGUGAGUGGAACUGCGAGUGUAGAGGUGAAAUUCGUAGAUAUUCGCAAGAACACCAGUGGCGAAGGCGGCUCACUGGCCCGGUACUGACGCUGAGGUGCGAAAGCGUGGGGAGCAAACAGG